GACGAACGCUGGCGGCGUGCUUAACACAUGCAAGUCGAACGGAAAGGCCCUGCUUUUGUGGGGUGCUCGAGUGGCGAACGGGUGAGUAACACGUGAGUAACCUGCCCUUGACUUUGGGAUAACUUCAGGAAACUGGGGCUAAUACCGGAUAGGAGCUCCUGCUGCAUGGUGGGGGUUGGAAAGUUUCGGCGGUUGGGGAUGGACUCGCGGCUUAUCAGCUUGUUGGUGGGGUAGUGGCUUACCAAGGCUUUGACGGGUAGCCGGCCUGAGAGGGUGACCAGCUACAUUGGGACUGAGAUACGGCCCAGACUCCUACGGGAGGCAGCAGUGGAGAAUAUUGCACAAUGGGCGGAAGCCUGAUGCAGCAACGCCGCGUGCGGGAUGACGGCCUUCGGGUUGUAAACCGCUUUCGCCUGUGACGAAGAGUGAGUGACGGUAAUGGGUAAAGAAGCACCGGCUAACUACGUG
rnacentral:rRNA from 1 species